GGGAAAAUGGAACUUGGGAGUCAGCUGUC
rnacentral:piRNA from 1 species